rnacentral:tRNA from 1 species
UGAGAUGUAGCUCAGUAGUAGGGCACUUGCCUAACAUGUGUAAGACCCUGGGUUUGAUCCUCAGCAGCACAA